AUAAAGUGUUGGGGGGAGGGAGGGGUGUGCUUUAUUCAUGGGCUCAGAGAGAUCCUGGGUCACUGUAGGAAGGAUUGGAUUUCAGGCCUUUUGGACAGAACAUGGAGCUUAUGACUGAGUGGAAAGAAAUGCUCCAUAUCCAGAGAAUUGGGAUAGAAAAUGCCACAUGGUGUGUACCAUUCGGAAGUUCAUUUUCCAGAUGAAGAAACUGAGGCAAACAGGAUCAAGUGACUUGGCCAGAAUCACAGAGCUAGUAUAUGUCUGACUGGAUUUGAACUCAGAAGAUGAGUCUCCCUGACUACAGACCCUGCACUCUUUUCUACUGCACUACCAACAUCCUCGACUCAGACUCCACAAGAUACAAGAAGACAUUCAUUCCUGGGAUUUUACCAGUUGGAAUCUAUUUACAAGUUAGAGAUUACCUAAAAAAAUCAUUUUUUACCAUCCGUGUAUUCACUGGCAUCUGGUUAUCUAUGGGAACCCACCAUUAGAGAUGGAAAGAUAUGGUUCAUUUUCAAAGAGAACGCAUCAGAAGACAGAGUCAGUGAUGGUGUCAAGCUAUGUGCUUGCUCUGGGUGAUCCAUACUUUCCCUUUUUGCAUGCUUCGUGAGUCAAUCAACUUGGACUCCCUCACCUGGGCAUAAAUUCCCUUUAUGGAGCACUGUGAUUGCCCAACUCAAAUGCUACCUUCUCUGGGAAGUCUUUCCUGAUUGGCCCUCAGAUCUCACAUAGCACUUUUGGUUGGUACUUCCUUAAUAAAUUUGAUCAUAUAAAAUUCUUCA
rnacentral:lncRNA from 1 species